UCCUGAGCUGAAAGGCUGGGGCUCUGGGCUGGUCCCAAACCACCUUUCACCUCAGCCGAGAGAGACAGCUCUUUUCCUCCUGCUCCUGUUCUCUUGCCUCCGGUCUUUAAAGUUUGGGACAAGAAUUGAAGAACAUUCUGAGCUACUGGUGGAGUUUGGAUGCAGAGGUUUAACCCGUGCUAAGCGGGACAGGCCGAGGCGGAGGCUCUGACUCGGAGAUUUCACGGCCACUCCUGCCAGGGGGCUACGGCUGCUGCUUCCGGACAUGGCUGCAAGGAAACAUGUCACCUGAUGCUGAGCAUGUCAGACAUCUCUUCACAAAGAUCAGUCUAUGAAACAGGAGAGGCCAGCAGAAGACUGAGUAUCUGUGAAGGCAUCCUACUGGCCUCUGAAGAGACAGAACCCUUUCUUGGUGAGGACCGAGAUUCUGACUUGACGGCAGCUGGAGUGCAGUCUACUGAAGUCACUUGUUUGAAAAUAUACAUAAAACAGGGGUCACAGAGCAAGAAUGAAGUCUAGCAUGCAUGUGUGAAAAUUAUACAGUUCCAUCAGCUUAUAGAAAUUAAAGAAGCAGAGUCGUAAAUCCAGAAAACUCUCAUUAAUCAACAUUUAUAGAGGGCGUAGGAACAGCCAUCCUUUCUGAGCACUUCUAUGCUAGGAAGUAUGGUAAGUAUAUCCUUUAACACUACCUUUAACCCUGAGGGCAGCUCCAAUACAGAAAUGACUCUCCCCACUGUCAGUUAAGGAAACAGAGAGAUUAGACAGUCGGCCUGUAGUCUGAGAGCUAGUAAGCAUCUGAGCCGGAAGUGGAAACCACGUCUGAGUCUAGAGUCCACACUUGUUACUCACACAACAGUGUCCGGUCACAAUGUGUCAUGAAGUAUUGAAUGUAUCAGGCUCCUGGGUCUCAGAGUAUCCUAUUCCCAGGGAAUGUAUGGUCCCCUCACUAGACUCUGGUAGAAACAGCAGAAAAGUAAAGAGAUAUGUACACUGCAGUGUGGUAAGAGAGAUGACAGAACCUAGAGGUGGGCCUGGGGGAACUUACAAGCUGCAUGGAUCUGUACGUUUAGAAGCAUCUCACCAAGAGCAGUGUAAAGGCAGAGCACCUAGGUGGCUCCGUGGUGGCCCAGGUGAGAGGGGAUCGGGAACGAAUCGGGAAUGAAUGAAGCGGGAGAAAGUGCGGAAAACAGCAGAGUGGAGAGCUUUCAGUCAUUAGAAAGGAGGAGGGUGCUGGAGACAGGGGAAUAAUCAGGACUCGCAAAUUCCCGUCAUGGACACACUGUCUGAGAAGGAAUACAGAAUGGGAGUGGGUUUGGGUUUGUUUUUGAUGGCGGGAGAAGAAGUAGGAUACAAAGUCUCUUUCAGAUAACGCUUGCUUCGAGACACCUCAGCAGCAUCUGGGUGCCCGUGGACGUGAACACCUUCACAUGUACUCCUCCUCCUGUUACCGUCUGCACUCCUGCAGUCAGCACGGCCCCUCAGGCUUCGCUGCCACGAUGGGGAUGUCCGGUAUCUUGUGCUGUCCAACACGUUGGGAGCCACAAGCCACAGUCAGGUGGGCACUUGGAAUGUGGCAGCAAAGCCAAGAAACUGACUUUCAAACUGUACUUAAUUUUAAUAACUUAAAUGUGAUGGAACUACU